rnacentral:rRNA from 1 species
GACGUAGGGCGCGAGCGUGUCCGGAUUUAUUGGGCGUAAAGAGCUCGUAGGCGGCUUGUCGCGUCAACUGUGAAAACCCGUGGCUCAACCAUGUGGUCUGCAGUCGAUACGGGCAGGCUAGAAUUCGGUAGGGGAGACUGGAAUUCCUGGUGUAGCGGUGAAAUGCGCAGAUAUCAGGAGGAACACCGGUGGCGAAGGCGGGUCUCCUGGGCCGAUAUUGACGCUGAGGAGCGAAAGCGUGGGGAGCGAACAGG